rnacentral:lncRNA from 1 species
UUCCUACGUCUUCCUGUCUUCUGAGCCCUCUAAGACUUGACAAAGUUCCAAACUUUUUUGCAUUUUCCUAUCUUCUUCUCACCCCUCCAAACUGUUAUAACCUCUGCCUUACCCAGUACCAAAGUUGCUUCCACAUUUUCAGGUAUCUUUACAGCAGCAUCCACACCAUUGUGAAAAUCACAAGUGAAGGGAAUUAAUUUGUUUUUCUAAUUUAAUUUACCUUAUAAUUUUGAACAAAAAUCACAUAGUGUAUAUCUAUGCUACUAAUCACAGAUGUUUAGUUAAUCUGCUUGUUAAUCACCAAAACUAAUUUUUGUCAGUAUUACAUGGAUCUCAUUUAUCUUGAAUAUGUAACUAGAAGUAGAU